rnacentral:rRNA from 1 species
AUUGAACGCUGGCGGCAGGCCUAACACAUGCAAGUCGAGCGGAUGAAGGGAGCUUGCUCCUGGAUUCAGCGGCGGACGGGUGAGUAAUGCCUAGGAAUCUGCCUGGUAGUGGGGGAUAACGUCCGGAAACGGGCGCUAAUACCGCAUACGUCCUGAGGGAGAAAGUGGGGGAUCUUCGGAUCUCACGCUAUCAGAUGAGCCUAGGUCGGAUUAGCUAGUUGGUGGGGUAAAGGCCUACCAAGGCGACGAUCCGUAACUGGUCUGAGAGGAUGAUCAGUCACACUGGAACUGAGACACGGUCCAGACUCCUACGGGAGGCAGCAGUGGGGAAUAUUGGAAAAUGGGCGAAAGCCUGAUCCAGCCAUGCCGCGUGUGUGAAGAAGGUCUUCGGAUUGUAAAGCACUUUAAGUUGGGAGGAAGGGCAGUAAGUUAAUACCUUGCUGUUUUGACGUUACCAACAGAAUAAGCACCGGCUAACUUCGUG